rnacentral:rRNA from 1 species
CGGCGGACGGGUGAGUAAUGCUUAGGAAUCUGCCUAUUAGUGGGGGACAACGUUCCGAAAGGAGCGCUAAUACCGCAUACGUCCUACGGGAGAAAGCAGGGGACCUUUGGGCCUUGCGCUAAUAGAUGAGCCUAAGUCGGAUUAGCUAGUUGGUAGGGUAAAGGCCUACCAAGGCGACGAUCUGUAGCGGGUCUGAGAGGAUGAUCCGCCACACUGGGACUGAGACACGGCCCAGACUCCUACGGGAGGCAGCAGUGGGGAAUAUUGGACAAUGGGGGGAACCCUGAUCCAGCCAUGCCGCGUGUGUGAAGAAGGCCUUUUGGUUGUAAAGCACUUUAAGCGAGGAGGAGGCUACCUAGAUUAAUACUUUAGGAUAGUGGACGUUACUCGCAGAAUAAGCACCGGCUAACUCUGUGCCAGCAGCCGCGGUAAUACAGAGGGUGCGAGCGUUAAUCGGAUUUACUGG